AUUUCUAUGAGAUGUACCAAAAAUCGCUUCGUUUCGUCGUUGAUAUCUACUGUGGAUAACAUUUGGAAUUGAUUUCUUGAUCCGCUUAGCUCUGAGGUCAUUGCUUCCCUUACAAAUAUGGAAUGUCUGAGCUAAACAAAUAAUUAGCAACACUUUCUUUGGACUGUACGAAUUAACAAGGGUGAUAAAAUUGCACGGGAGGCAUUGCUUUGGACUAUAUGGCUCAUCAAACAUGGUUCGAGCUAUAUUCCAAUAUCUUCGACACACACCUUUAAUUUCCUAAAAGAUUUACAGCUUUAAUCACACUCAAUGAGAUAUAAGGAAAGAGUAUAUGUUUAUGGAUCUUCCCUUGGUGGCAGCCC
rnacentral:lncRNA from 1 species